GGCUCCAUAGUGUAGUGGUUAGCACAUCUGCUUUACAUGCAGAAGAUCCCAGGUUGUGCCUCAGGUGGAGCCA
rnacentral:tRNA from 1 species